UAAUUUGAGAGUUUGAUCCUGGCUCAGGACGAACGCUGGCGGCGUGCCUAAUACAUGCAAGUCGAACGAACUCUGGUAUUGAUUGGUGCUUGCAUCAUGAUUUACAUUUGAGUGAGUGGCGAACUGGUGAGUAACACGUGGGAAACCUGCCCAGAAGCGGGGGAUAACACCUGGAAACAGAUGCUAAUACCGCAUAACAACUUGGACCGCAUGGUCCGAGUUUGAAAGAUGG
rnacentral:rRNA from 1 species